GUCCCUUUGUCCGAAUAGCAAGGUGACUGACUGCAAAUCAGUUUAUGCAGGUGCAAUUCCUGCAAGGGACU
rnacentral:tRNA from 1 species